UACAGAGGUCUCAAGCGUUGUUCGGAUUCAUUGGGCGUAAAGGGUGCGUAGGCGGUUCGGUAAGUCGGGUGUGAAAACUUUGGGCUUAACCCAAAGCGUGCACUCGAUACUGCCAUGACUAGAGUUCGGUAGGGGAGUGGGGAAUUCCUAGUGUAGCGGUGAAAUGCGCAGAUAUUAGGAGGAACACCGGUGGCGAAGGCAGGUCUCUGGGCAUUAACUGACGCUGAGGGGCGAAAGCAUGGGGAGCGAACAGG
rnacentral:rRNA from 1 species